UGAAAAGGCUUAAAUAAAUUAAGGGGACGAUAAGACCCUAUAAAGCUUGACAAUAAUUUAAUUAUACUAUCAAUUGUUAGUAUAACUUGGUUUUAAUUAAUAUUUGUUGCGUUGGGGCGACGAGAAUAUAAUAGGUAACUGUUCUUAAAUAUUUAAUAACAAAUAUAAUUGGAAAUUAGUAUGAUCCUCUAUUAGCGAUUAAAAGAUUAAGUUACUUUAGGGAUAACAGCGUAAUCUUCUUUGAGAGUCCCUAUCGACAAGAAGGUUUGCGACCUCGAUGUUGAAUUAAGGUAUCCUUAUGAUGCAGCAGUUAUAAAGGAAGGUCUGUUCGACCUUUAAAUCCUUACAUGAUCUGAGUUCAAACCG
rnacentral:rRNA from 1 species